rnacentral:rRNA from 1 species
AAUGAACGCUGGCGGCAGGCCUAAAACAUGCAAGUCGAACGCCCUAGCAAUAGGGAGUGGCGCACGGGUGAGUAACAUGUGGGAAUAUGCCUUUUGGUACGGAACAGCGUUUGGAAACGAACGCUAAUACCGAAUGGUCCCUCAGGGGUAAAGAUUUAACGACAAAAGAUUAGCCCGCACUAGAUUAGCUAGUUGGUAAGGUAAUGGCUUACCAAGGCGACGAUCGAUAGCUGGUCUGAGAGGAAGAUCAGCCACACUGGGGCUGAGACACGGCACAGACUCCUACGGGAUGCAGCAGUUAGGAAUAUUGGACAAUGGGCGCAAGGCUGAUGCAGCCAUGCCGCGUGAGUGAUGAAGGCCGUCGGGUUGUAAAGCUCUUUAGCCGACGAAUAUAAUGACUGUAGUCGGAGAAUAAGCCCCGGCUAACUUCGUGCCAGCAGCCGCGGUAACAC